rnacentral:lncRNA from 12 species
UAAAAGAAACAGAAAAUGAUAAUAUGAACCUCUCAAAGCCUAAUGAUUUUGUUUAAAUUCUAGGUUAUUUUGGAAUGUGAAAGCUAAUUGCUGCUUGGAUCCAUGACAACCAUGUAGACACUAUUCACUUUAACAAUCUACACCAGCAUGGACCAAGACAUUUAAAACAAACCUUUCAAGCAGUCGAUGGAGUGCAAUCGGAAAGGUAGGAUUAUUUUUUUUCUCCUUGUGUAGGUUUAAAACUUACUGGACAUUCACUCUUGUGACUUCAGCAUUCCACAGCAUAAAUCAUCUCUCUUCACAGUACUCCACAAUAUUUUCUAAUGACAAUGCUGAGCUGUGAUAAGCUCUAGUGACAGAACAGAACUGUGUUUCUUUCCAACCCAUAAGUUUCCCAAUGUAGCACAUAAAAG